CUGCCAUGGUCAGAGGAGAGACCGUGAAGCUGUCUCAUUAUCUGAGUGUUCCAGGGGGAGUUACUUGCUAAGAUUGUGGGCUGGGACCCUUUGUUUUUUUUUCUGUAAUGAGAUAGCAGGAGCAUAAUUAUGUGAGGCCAAGCAUAUAUUAAUCAUGUUGAUUUAGCCAUUCCACAAUGUAUGCAUGUUUCCAAACAUCAUUACACCAUAAACACAUAUGAUUCCUAUUUCUCAGUUAAACAACACAACAACAAGAGCAAUAACAAUAAUAACAAAAACAAUUUAAAAUAAAAGAGAGGGCCCAGAUCUGGGAAGCAUAAAAUUAUUCUCCUUGUAACAUAAAAAGUAAUAUUUCUGUAUAAGCAAUUUAUCAAGAGUAGUUUGAACACCAUAAAUUCUUGACUAUACAAUUUAUGCUAAUUUUGAAAAUUAUGAUUGAAUUUACUAGAAAUGAUCUAUAUUUUAUUGAUCUGAGCUUUUAAAAAAGAGAUUAAAAACCGCAUCUUCUGAGAAAUGAAUAAAGUAUAUUAAUUCAAGUAGACAAAUAACAUCUUAGCAUUAAUAGAAAGAUAUUGGUUUCUUUUUGUCUGCCUACUAGUAAGAAAAAUGAAGUUUGUUUCUUACCAAUAUCAUCCCAUCUUGUGUUUGGACAGGGUGUAAUUCUGUGUUGCUCUUCAGUUUAUCUGUGGUUAAGUCUUUUGGGCUGGGCUCUACCUCCUCCCCUCCCUCUCCGGCCCUCUCUCCUCCUCUCCCUUCCUUCAUGGUUCUGGGAUGGACCCGGGAUUUCAAAACACUCUACUACUGAAGGACACCCCAGCCCUCCUUGUUAAUUCUUUAAGGGGUAUGACUUGGUCCUGUGGUGAGGUGGGAGUCAGGAAAUAACUACAAAGAAACAUUGACCCUUCACUCCAUGGAGCUCACAGCCUAGAUGGCUGUAGGGUUUUUUUAAAUGAAUAUCAGAACACAAUGGAAGCACAAUGCAAGGACUUCAUCUUGGGGUGCAGGGAGGAAUUCUGGGAAAAGACAGAUGUUCAAACUUAAACCAGGGCUGGAGGUGGUGUGUGCACCUGUGGUUGCAGCUCCUGGGGAAGGGGUUUAGGGGAGGUAGGAGCAUUGGUUGAGUCUAGGAGUUCAAGAUCUGAGAAACAUAGUGAGGCCCCAUCCCCUUCCAGAAUAAUAUAAAAUAAAAAUAAUAAAUCACAUAAAUAGAAUCUUAGAAUAGGGCUUCUCAACCACAGUCCUCCUAAGUUUGAUGCUUUCAGUCAUACAUUCAGGUUACCUCCACAUGAUCCCAUCAUCCUGAGUUUUAACCAAUUCCAACAAGAACCUGAGUGUGAAAUCUCAUCCAAGUAUCACUCAAAAGAGUCCACAUCUCAUCAGGUACAUGCUGUAAGUCAGCUAUGAAUGGGACUCGAGGUGUGGUUCCUCCAUCUGUGACUGUGAAACCAGAAAACAGGUUGCAUGCUCCCAAAAUAUAGAGAUGGGCCAGGCACAAGUGACAUUCCUAUCUCAAAGGUGGGAAACUGGAGGGAACAAAGAGGUCAUAGGUCAAGGCCAAAUUCAAAGCCCAGCCAGGCAAUUCUGGGAUUUCCAGGCCUGAUGAUAGUUGCUCUGGCUUGAGGCCUGUCCUCUGGCCCUCGGUUUGAAUGUUUCACUGGAGUUUCCUCAGAUAAGUGAGAAGGGUUGAGCUGCUGGCUGGGCGCAUAGCCUGGGUAAUAGUGAACCUGGUGAUGGGAUCAACAUCCAGAGGAUGGGUGAGGCUGCCCCCUGAGCAAAGCUCUGAGGGAGUUGAGAAGAAGGUCUUUAACCUGUGGAAGCCUCCAGCCUGAUACAGGAGAUCAAGGAGUAAGCUGGGCUGUGGUCACCAGAGCCCUGGAGGGUGGCAGCAAGACAGGGAUUGGGUGAGUCCACAUGUUAACUGGAUCCCCACUGUGUGGAGGCCACCUGUAAUUCCUGCUCAGUUAGUCCCUGGUGUGGUGGGAAGUAAACAGGAGGUGAAGAAAUGGGUGCAGAAGUGCGAUAGCCUAUCAUGGAGAGUAAAAAUUAAAAAGUAGCCAGGGGGAAAAGCGGGGUGUUAUGGCUCAAUUGUGUCCCCAAAAGAAGAUCCAUUGAAGUCAUAACCUCUAGCACCUGGGCAUGUGACCUUACUUGUAAACAGGACCUCUGCAGAUGUAUUUAAGAGAAGAUGAGGUCAUGAGGGUGGACCCUGAUGCAGUGUGACCAGUGUCCUUGUAAGGAGAGAGAGAUGCCAGGUGAAGGCACAGGAGAAGGCUAUGUGAGGAUGAGGUGGACACUGGAGGGCGCUUGUGUACGCCGGGGAACACCAAGGUGCACAGCUGCCACCAGAGGAGGAAGAGGCAAACAUUUCAGGGGGUGUGGCCCUGCUGCGUCCUGGAUUUGGACUUUAGCUUCCACAACUGUGAGAGAAGACAUUUUGGUGUAUUUUUUAGAAAAUAUUUUUUUAGUUAUUCUGGCCACAAUAUCUUUAUUUUGCUUAUUUUUAUGUGGUGCUAAGGAUGGAACCCAGUGUGCCUCACAUGUGCGAGGCAAGUGCUCUGCCAUUGAGCCACUACCCCAGCCUCAUUUUGGUAGCUGUAAGCCACUCAACUUGUGGUAUUUUGUUACUGUGAUGACACUAAUACAGGGAUUGGCCAUGGCACAGGUUUACACAGUGAGGGGGAAGGUCCCAUCAGGAGGGACAGGUGGGGGUGCAGGAGACGAGGGCUGCCCGGAGCUGUCUGCUCAUCGUUUGCAGGCCAGAGGGAGGGCUGGUGUCCAUGUGAAGGUGGGUGGAAGGGCGCGCCCUCCUCAGCCAGAGUUACAGGGUGGUGGUGGUUUAUCAUUCCCCUUCCUGGGCUGUCUGGGGGCAGGAUUAGCCCCUCAGAGCAGAGGAUGGCAUAGGGACAUGGCCAGGCCCUGACCCUCAUGCCUUGGCUAUUCUCCCCCAGCUCUGCCUGCUCAGGAUCCUGCCUGGCUCCAGGAAGAGGAAGAUGCUAUGGCUCCUGGGUGGCUGACCACCUAUUCCCAGGUGAGUAAGAAAGUCUUUCUUCAAACGAACACUGUGGUGCUGGAGAAGGACUUGCCCCCUUCAUGGACCUCCUGGGCCUUCUCCACCCCACAGCCACCGGGAGCCAGGCCUUUGCCCUGGGUAGGGGGCAGCCCAGGAAACAGUUCCACACCCUCAUUUAGACCCUCCACAGGCUGCUGAGCACCAGGAGGGAAAAGCCAGAGCUGUCCUUGCUUCACGGCCUUUGUGGUCUCAGUGGACAUAGGGUUUAGUCAUUUAUAAGAUAUUUCUCUCUGGCCUGCAACAUGCUCAGGUCUGCUGGGCCCUGGAGCUGGGAGAGGGUAAAUCUGCAAGGCUUCUUGGCUGGUCAUGGAGAGAGGCAUCCUUUCAUGAAGUAGAGGUCUUUGAC
rnacentral:lncRNA from 1 species